rnacentral:rRNA from 1 species
UACGUAGGGUGCGAGCGUUGUCCGGAAUUAUUGGGCGUAAAGAGCUCGUAGGCGGUUUGUUGCGUCGGCCGUGAAAACCUGCAGCUUAACUGUGGGCCUGCGGCCGAUACGGGCAGACUUGAGUUCGGUAGGGGAGACUGGAAUUCCUGGUGUAGCGGUGAAAUGCGCAGAUAUCAGGAGGAACACCGGUGGCGAAGGCGGAUCUCUGGGCCGAUACUGACGCUGAGGAGCGAAAGCGUGGGGAGCGAACAGG